UAUAUAAUCUACAUAUAAUCCAAAAAUCACCCAAAAUAUUGCCUAUUCCGUACUCAUAAUAAUGCCGUCAUAUUAUUCUAUUGGCCCAUCAACAAUGCCACAUAUUUAAUUGGGCAUUUUCAAUUACGCCGUAGGCAAUCCAAAUUUUGAAAAAUCGCUUGCUUUUCGUUCAGCUACUCUCUCAAUUUUUGAGAGACUACUCUCUCAAUUUAUUCUUGAAACUUUUAUUUUCUUGCUAGAGUAUGUCGAAUCAUUAGAUAAAUUUUUUACUCAGAAAUACAGCCUCUAUUUGUAGGUAAUAAAAUAAUGAAAAGAAUGGAUUGACUGGAAUAGCGUUAAAAUGUUUUUCAUUCCCAUAUGGAAUGCAAUGAGGCUUGAUUGGCAAUUAAAAAAGAAUGCCACAUUGAGAGAUGUUUUCUGGAGAUUAUUUACGAUCGAUGAGAAUGUGUACUGCUCUCUUCUAUUUCCAUUUUAUUAACAUUAAAAUCAG